GAUCAUGGCUCAGGAUGAACGCUGGCGGUAUGCCUAACACAUGCAAGUCGUACGAGAGUUUUUUAACUCUAGUGGCGGACGGGUGAGUAACACGUGAGAAUUUGCCUUUAGGAGGGGGAUAACAAUUGGAAACGAAUGCUAAUACCCCAUAUGCUUUUGAGUGAAAUGGAUUUUAUCCGCCUAGAGAGAAGCUCGCGGCUGAUUAGCUUGUUGGUAAGGUAAGAGCUUACCAAGGCGACGAUCAGUAUCUGGUUUGAGAGGACGAUCAGACACACUGGAACUGAGACACGGUCCAGACUCCUACGGGAGGCAGCAGUGGGGAAUUUUCCGCAAUGGGCGAAAGCCUGACGGAGCAAUACCGCGUGAGGGAAGAAUGCCUAUGGGUUGUAAACCUCUUUUUUCAGGGAGGAAUAAAAUGACGUGUACCUGAAGAAUAAGCAUCGGCUAACUCCGUG
rnacentral:rRNA from 1 species